CAGCCGCCGCGGGAAUACGAGGGGGUGCAAGCGUUAUUCGGAUUGAUUGGGUGUAAAGGGUGUGCAGACGGCUUAUUAAGUCACUUGUUAAAUUCUUCGGCCUAACUGAAGGUCUGCAAGUGAUACUGAUGAGCUAGAGGGUGGAAGAGAGAAGUGGAAUUCUCGGAGUAGCGGUAAAAUGCGUAGAUCUCGAGAGGAACACCAAUGGCGAAGGCAGCUUCUUGGUCCAUUCCUGACGUUCAUACACGAAAGCGUGGGGAGCAAACAGGAUUAGAUACCCCAGUAGUCCCUGUCUUUUAUA
rnacentral:rRNA from 1 species